UACGUAGGGUCCGAGCGUUGUCCGGAAUUAUUGGGCGUAAAGGGCUCGUAGGCGGUUUGUCACGUCGGGCGUGAAAACUCAGGGCUCAACCUGAGCGUGCGUCCGAUACGGGCUGACUAGAGGUAUGCAGGGGAGAACGGAAUUCCUGGUGUAGCGGUGGAAUGCGCAGAUAUCAGGAGGAACACCGGUGGCGAAGGCAGGUCACUGG
rnacentral:rRNA from 1 species